rnacentral:ncRNA from 1 species
GGGGCGCAUUUAUUAGAUAAAAGGCUGACGUGGGCUCUGCUCGCUGAUCCGAUGAUUCAUGAUAACUCGACGGAUCGCAUGGCCUUUGUGCCGGCGACGCAUCACACAAAUUUCUGCCCUAUCAACUUUCGAUGGUAGGAUAGGGGCCUACCAUGGUGGUGACGGGUGACGGAGAAUUAGGGUUCGAUUCCGGAGAGGGAGCCUGAGAAACGGCUACCACAUCCAAGGAAGGCAGCAGGGGCG